UACGUAGGGACCGAGCGUUGUCCGGAAUCAUUGGGCGUAAAGCGUGCGCAGGCGGUUUUGUAAGCCAGAUGUGAAAUCCCCGGGCUUAACCUGGGAAUGGCAUUUGGGACUGCAAGGCUUGAGUGCGGCAGAGGAGACUGGAAUUCCUGGUGUAGCAGUGAAAUGCGUAGAUAUCAGGAGGAACACCGAUGGCGAAGGCAGGUCUCUGGGCUGACACUGACGCUCAUGCACGAAAGCGUGGGGAGCAAACAGG
rnacentral:rRNA from 1 species